UGGGGAAUAUUGCACAAUGGGCGAAAGCCUGAUGCAGCAACGCCGCGUGAGGGACGACGGCCUUCGGGUUGUAACCUCUUUAGCUAAGGAAGAAGCGAAAGUGACGGUACUUGCAGAAAAAGCGACCGGCUAACUACGUGCCAGCAGCCGCGGUAAUACGUAGGGCGCAAGCGUUAUCCGGAAUUAUUUGGGCGUAAAGAGCUCGUAGGCGGUUUGUCGCGUCUGCUGUGAAAAACCCGAGGCUCAACCUCGGGCCUGCAGUGGGUACGGGCAGACUAGAGUGCGGUAGGGGAGAUUGGAACUCCUGGUGUAGCGGUGGAAUGCGCAGAUAUCAGGAAGAACACCGAUGGCGAAGGCAGAUCUCUGGGCCGUAACUGACGCUGAGGAGCGAAAA
rnacentral:rRNA from 1 species